rnacentral:rRNA from 1 species
AACGAACGCUGGCGGCAUGCCUAACACAUGCAAGUCGAACGAGACCUUCGGGUCUAGUGGCGCACGGGUGCGUAACGCGUGGGAACCUGCCCUUAGGUUCGGAAUAACUCCCCGAAAGGGGUGCUAAUACCGGAUAAUGUCUUCGGACCAAAGAUUUAUCGCCUUUGGAUGGGCCCGCGUUGGAUUAGCUAGUUGGUAGGGUAAAAGCCUACCAAGGCGACGAUCCAUAGCUGGUCUGAGAGGAUGAUCAGCCACACUGGGACUGAGACACGGCCCAGACUCCUACGGGAGGCAGCAGUGGGGAAUAUUGGACAAUGGGCGAAAGCCUGAUCCAGCAAUGCCGCGUGAGUGAUGAAGGCCUUAGGGUGGUAAAGCUCUUUUACCCGGGAUGAUAAUGACAGGACCGGGAGAAUAAGCUCCGGCUAACUCCGU